rnacentral:misc_RNA from 1 species
UACGAAAGGGGCUAGCGUUGUUCGGAAUUACUGGGCGUAAAGCGCACGUAGGCGGCCGUGUAAGUUGGGGGUGAAAUCCCGGGGCUCAACCCCGGAACUGCCUUCAAAACUACACAGCUGGAGGAUGCGAGAGGUGAGCGGAAUUCCGAGUGUAGAGGUGAAAUUCGUAGAUAUUCGGAAGAACACCAGUGGCGAAGGCGGCUCACUGGCGCAUUACUGACGCUGAGGUGCGAAAGCGUGGGGAGCAAACAGG